UGGCCGAAAAAUUCUCCGGUGCGGCGGCGGGUGGCGGCGGCCGACUCCUCCGGCGUCUGGUUCUUCUUCUCCGGCGAGGCACUGGCGGCUAGGGUUUUGUGGUCAGGUGUGGGUGGGGUUAUUUAUACCAUUCGCCUUUUAAUCUCAAUCGUCCAUCAAGAUUAAAUAUGAACUGUCCGAUCGCGAUUUAUUUGGGAUUAAAUCUGGA
rnacentral:lncRNA from 1 species